rnacentral:lncRNA from 1 species
AUAUUCUGGGGCAGUGUCCCCAGGAGGGCCUGACAGGUGCCUUUCCCCCCAAGUGCCUGUAUCCCCUUUGGUGAGUGAAGUCAGCAGGGAUGCUGUCACCAUGGCUACAUGCUCGGGAGCCCACAUCCUGUUUCAGGACUAUAUUUAAUUCCACUGUGCUCCAUUCAUCACUUCUUCCAGCAAGAUCAUAACAUUUUGACAUCAUCAGGGGCCUGGAGAUGCGAGCGUAUCGAUGCACCACUGAAAUGUCAGGACCUCGGAGGGCUGCAGCCAAAUCUGUGGCAUAGACUCACUGGUGAAUUUGCAGCCAGUGGAGGAGGGAUGUGCUGAAGAAAUCACUGCCCACAUCAUUAAUUCGUCACAAUUGGAGUGAGCGCCAGGCAAGAGGGGGCUCUGAUGCUUUGAAAGAGGCCCAAUAAUACAGAGACUUGACUUGCCCCAAG